UCCCUGGUGGUCCAGCGGUUAGGACUCGGCGCUUUUACUGUCGUGGCCUAGGUUCAAUCCCUGGUUGGGGAA